rnacentral:rRNA from 1 species
UACGAAGGGGGCUAGCGUUGCUCGGAAUCACUGGGCGUAAAGCGCACGUAGGCGGCUUUCUAAGUCGGGGGUGAAAUCCUGGAGCUCAACUCCAGAACUGCCUUCGAUACUGGAGAGCUUGAGUCCGGGAGAGGUGAGUGGAACUGCGAGUGUAGAGGUGAAAUUCGUAGAUAUUCGCAAGAACACCAGUGGCGAAGGCGGCUCACUGGCCCGGUACUGACGCUGAGGUGCGAAAGCGUGGGGAGCGAACGGG